UGAGUGAGUGAGUGAGAAAGAUAAGAGCUACAAGAAGAGCAGAGUUUUUUGCUCAGUUGUUGUUGUUGAAGCACUACCAUUAGCUCUCACCAGCCGGCCCUGGAAAUUCCUAAGAAAUUCUCCUCUGCUGCUGCACUUGAGACCUACAUUCCUACUAUGUGUGAGUACCCGUCUUUCCUGGACACACACACACAGUACAGAACAGAUCAACAUGUAGAGCGUCAUGAUAAGUAGUCAGUAUGCUUGCUGUUUGGGGUUUUAGGCUGGGUUUCUGUACAGCACUUUGAGAUAUCAGCUGAUGUAAGAAGGGCUUUUGAUUUGAUUAAGUUUGAUUUAGAGUUUGGCUAGAUGGUUUGGUUUUAGGCUGACUUUGGGUUUAGACGCUUCCUAACUUCCAAAAAUCUCCUAACCCAAAUAAUGUUGAGUGUGAGUGUGAGUUUGAGAGACAGUGGCCGUGUCUGAAUACCCAUACUACCAUACGAAAAAGUAACGUUUUAUAGUAGGUGAAUUUCGAAAAUAGUACUCUGAAUGCAUCAUCUAAUGUGUGAUUGUGAUGACUCCCGCAAUUCGUUCAUUUUGUUACAGCGGGCCAAUUUCUGGAAUCUUUUAUUUCAGCUCAUGAAACAGGGGACCAACACCUUACAUGUUGCAUUUAUAUUUUUGUUCAGUAUCAACAAGUUUCCUGGGGAGGUCACUGGGGAAACGAUUAAGGGUGACAAUUCCGGUGGAAGUAGCGAAGUACGGAGUUGACCGGCAGUAUUUUUGAUUUUAGAAGCUAACAAACUGGGAUAAGCAAUAAUAAAAUAUUAACUCGCUAGAUGUUAAAAUGUUAUGGAGCUCGGGGACAACAUGUGCUGUUCAUGGUUGUACAUACAAACAGACAAAAGUUAAUGAUUGGCUUAAAUUGGAGUGCUUCGACCAUGAACCCAAAGCUAAAUCAGAAUGUUCCUGUCAGAGAUGGUAUAGUUUCCAUCGCACCCCAAAUGACGACGAAGCAUAAAGAAAUUGGCUCAAAAACUUAAACUUAAAAAAGCACCCCAAAAAGUUGUGUGUUUUGCUCUUUUCAAUUUGUUGAUAAGACACAAACACGGGAUAACCCAUACCCAAAGCUCUUUCUGGGUUAUGAGAGGCCACCAGAGAAGAGAUGCCGCCUUUGCAGGAGGGUUGACAGACAUGUCACAAGAACAGAAUCUUACCCAAUAAUCUCAUGAACUAAUCAUCACCUGCAGAUGAGCCUGGUGUGGUGGAGGUUUCUGAGGAGCCAGGUCCUAUUUCAAAGACCUUCCUUGAUGCCCAAACACAGUGGUCAGACCCAGCAAUGGAGGACCACACCUACUCCAAAGGACCUAUCAUCACAUGUGGCAUGACGACCUCACCAGCCCGAGAGGUCACUGUCUGUUGCAGAUGUUACAUUGAAAGAUGAUGCAGACUGUCUGCUGUACACAGGGAUCCCACUACUAGAAUUCAACACUCUUGUGUCUCGUUUACAAGGUUUUGCCCCCACAUCAUCAACAAUGCCAGUUGUAGACCAAAUUCUGUUGACACUAAUGAAACUUAGACAGAACUUUGUUAUAGCCGAUUUAGCAAGACGCUUCAAAAGGUCACCCGGUCAGGUCAGUAAAACAUUGAAAUUCUGGAUAGAUGUCAUUGCUGAGCACACCAAGGAUCUCAUUCCAUUGCUGCCUUGUGAGACGAUAAAGGCUACUAUGCCACAGGUAUUUCAGGAGAACUUUUCAAACACAACUUGUGUUACUGACUGCACAGAAGGUGUAGACUCAAGAACUGAAUCUUACAGUCACUACUAUGCCAAUAAUACUGUAAAAUAUCUAGUUGCACCUACUCCAUCAGGAAUAGUUAUGUUCAUUUCAGAGGCUUAUUGUGGGAAAUGUAGCGAUAGGUUCAUAACACAGAACUCAGGGUUUCUCGACCAUUUGCGUGCUGGAGAUGAGGUGAUGGGGGACGGUGGCUUCACAAUUAGGGACUUGCUAGAGGAACGGAAUGUAUGCUUGGUCUUAACAGCAUUUCCACGCAAGAAAUGCCAGUUGACAAAUGAGCAGGUCACUCACACACAACGGAUUGCUAAUGUCUAUAUUCAUGUGGAAUGAGCAAUAAUGCGUUUUAAGGUGUGCAAGAUUAUCUCACAAACUGUGCUUAUUAGUUUGGUCCCUAAAAUUGACAACAUACGUAAAAUUUGUGCAGCUCUUGUAAAUCUGAGAGGAAAGCUUAUUUCUAGCAAAUAGACACAAUGUCUAACACAAUCAACAUGACUAACAACAUGCACUGAUCGUUUAUGUAUUCCAAAAAUGUGCAUCACUUUAUUCCUAUUAAUGAACUGCAAAACAUUGUCAGCAUUUGUAACAUUCUUUUAUUCCAGCUGUAUUUGUUGUAAAUCAUUGUUUUGUCAUUAUUUUGUUAGCUCACACAACUGCCUGUACCAACUUGGCUAUUUUAACUGGUUCUGUCCUAUGAAAAACUGACUUUGUCCUAUGAAAAAUAAACUGGUGAGAGAUCAUUA